ensembl:lncRNA novel transcript, antisense to FSCB
AGUGAGAAUCUACUUUUUGAAACAAGUUGAAAAAAAGCAUUUGUCUACAAAAGAACAUCAGAUACUGCACUUUUUACAAAUUGAAUGUUUGUGGCAAGCCUGCAUCGAGAAAGUCCAUUGAUGCCAUUUUUUUCAAACAGAAAAGUAAAGAUGUUUCUGGAAGGCACCAGGAGUCCUGUCUGCACUGAGCACCAUGAAGUUCACCUGCAUUGAGUUCUUUCCCUUUGUACAACACUUACUCCCAGACCAAAAAAUAACUCCUUCUCUCCAAUCUGUGUUCCAGGCAAACCAAUAGACUCCAGUUGUCUCCCGAAAUGCUUAAAGUGCUUUUCCAAUAUCCACUAUGUUUGGGCAACAUAUUAAAAAUAUACAACAAAAA